GCGUCUGUCGUAUAAUGGCUAUUACCUCAGACUUCCAAUCUGAUGAUGAGGGUUCGAUUCCCUCCAGACGCU
rnacentral:tRNA from 2 species